rnacentral:rRNA from 1 species
AUUGAACGCUGGCGGCAGGCCUAACACAUGCAAGUCGAGCGAGCGGCGGACGGGUGAGUAAUGUAUGGGGACUGCCCGUUAGAGGGGGAUAACGACUGGAAACGGUGGCUAAUACCGCAAACUGUCGGAUAACCCAUAUUGGAUUAACUAGUUGGAGAGGUAAUGGCUUACCUAGGCGACGAUCCCUAGCUGGUCUGAGAGGAUGAUCAGCCACACGGGGACUAAGACACGGCCCAGACUCCUACGGAGGCAGCAGUGGGGAAUAUUGCACAAUGGGCGCAAGCCUGAUGCAGCCAUGCCGCGUGUAUGAAGAGGGCCCUAGGGUUGUAAAGUACUUUCAGUCGGGAGGCGUUACCGACAGAAGAAGCACCGGCUAACUCCGUGCCAGCCGCCGCGGUAAUAC